AGCAAAUGUUGGGCUAGUUGUCGGUUAACUGCUAAGCAGGCAGCACGCGUGAUUAGCAAUAGAUUGCAAUCAAUCAAGUCGAAAUUACAAAGUGCUACGGUGCCUGACCGGCAAAAGAAACGGUGAAGGUGAAACUCGGUGGACAAGUGAUUAGUGGCGGGCUGGGGCAAGCCACCAAUGCCCAGUACUGAGUUCCAUCACUGAUAUGCCACCGUAAUGCAGUGCUAGAGUGAAGACGGAUUGCUUGAGAUCGGCCUAUCUUUUCACCGCCAACACCAAUCGCCCGGCGGAAUGUGGCGCAAAGCGGCAGCUGUGGAUGGCCGGCAGAUUGCUGGUGCAGUUCAUCGGUCUGCCCGGGCAGGCAUUACGUUCCAUCGUCGCCGGGGGAUACACUUUCAACACUGACACACACACAAAUUAACACUUUUCCCUAGGUUUAAGCUGAAAUAGAACGUAAGUAAUUAAUAAACACUUCUUUUAAUUUGCAUGUGAAAUUUAUGCUUUAAUUUUAUUAAGAGCGACUCCGAGUACUUUUCGCCAUUGGUUCCACUUGUUCGAACCAUUUCUUUGUUUCAGGCUGAUUGUGGUAAGUGGGUCAUGGGGACCAGUGCCAUCUUGACCGGCCUUUCUUAACUUUUUGUCCUCCGUCUCAUGCGGCCUCCCCUCC